rnacentral:rRNA from 1 species
AUUGAACGCUGGCGGCAUGCCUUACACAUGCAAGUCGAACGGUAACAGGUCUUCGGAUGCUGGCGAGUGGCGAACGGGUGAGUAAUACAUCGGAACGUGCCCGAUCGUGGGGGAUAACGAAGCGAAAGCUUUGCUAAUACCGCAUAAGAUCUACGGAUGAAAGCAGGGGACCGCAAGGCCUUGCGCGAACGGAGCGGCCGAUGGCAGAUUAGGUAGUUGGUGGGAUAAAAGCUUACCAAGCCGACGAUCUGUAGCUGGUCUGAGAGGACGACCAGCCACACUGGGACUGAGACACGGCCCAGACUCCUACGGGAGGCAGCAGUGGGGAAUUUUGGACAAUGGGCGAAAGCCUGAUCCAGCCAUGCCGCGUGCAGGAUGAAGGCCUUCGGGUUGUAAACUGCUUUUGUACGGAACGAAAAGACUCUGGUUAAUACCUGGGGUCCAUGACGGUACCGUAAGAAUAAGCACCGGCUAACUACGUG